UAAGAGAUAAAAACACUGUCUGGUUGGUAGUCCAGACCUAUUUAUUAGAAGUAACCUGCCCUCCUGGGGUUGUCCAUUCUCUUGUAAUAAA
rnacentral:ncRNA from 1 species